CAGGAUGGCCCCUCAGUGCCUUCCCUCCCAGCACUGCGCUGCUGCGCAACGGGGCUGCAACCGGGAGCAGCGAAGGCAGCGGUGCCUCCAACCGAACUCGCAUCAUCCCCUACACAGACCUCAAUGACGGAGUAAGAAGAGCUGCUGCAAGUAACUGUCAGCCCCAAAUACAAAACGCUGCUUCAAAGGACCACGUGAGAAUCCAGAGCUUACAGACCAAGCCAGGCAGCCGCUCGCCACGUUGCAGCUCGCUGGAACAGCCAGUGAUGAACCCGAAUUACACAAGCUGGGCGGCCCCAGCAAUGCAGACACCAAGCACACCGCAGACCCCAACCACAGCUGGCAACAGAUGCGGGGCAGCGGACACCUCACCCAUGUAUUUGUUGUUCUUUCAAACAGAUGUUGUGUUGUGGUGCAGAGAGAAGGAAGCUGCGUGUCUUUCUGCUCAGCAGGCAGGAAUGGUGGCAAUGCCCCUCCUGUCCCCGCCACAUCUCAUGCCCUGUGCAGGACACCCGUCAGGAUACAGCUUGGAGCAAGAGCCUGACAAAGAGUGAAGAAGGGAUGGCGGGGAUUUCUGGAUCCCAUUCCCCCGGAUCUAACAGGGUUUGGUGCUACAAUUCCUUAAGCAGCUUUGGAAAUCUUGACAACAGCAAACGGAAACCAACAGUGCCGGAUGGACCUCCCUCUGCCGCCACGAUGCCACUGUGCAUUGCCGUAUCAAAGUCACUGAACGCCUUGUGAUGCACCAAACAAUAGCAGAGGGGUGCACGAGCACACACUGCAGCUGCUGGCUGGGCACGAGCUCGCUGCCCUCAGAACCAUACACGACGACCCUAACAGCCAGCAGCAGCGCUCACCCAAAUCAACCCCGUGAUUUACGGAGCUGCCCUCCCCUUCCUCCUGCUCCAGAUGUGCCGCCAGCUGCGGUGACACCGCUGCCGAGACUGAGCUUAAUAAAUCUGCCCGCAACGACGCGGCUGUGGCAGCCAGCGAGCAUCCCGCAGCCCUCCUCGCAGCUCUGCACACAACAAAGCAGGUCCUGCC
rnacentral:lncRNA from 1 species